UUUAAGACAUAAUUUCACAUCUUUUAUUAACUUGCAGCCCUCAGUUCUCGGUGCACCAGCAGCAGAUGAGUGGUGACUUUUUAUUUUGUGUGAAUGCUUAGCUUGAACAUUGGUUCUGCUGCACAUUCAGAAAACGUUGGGACAAGAAUGAUUUUACCCCUUACUAAUGUUGCUUUUACUUCUCGCAUCAUGCGAUGAAGCAUGUUGUGUUCUUCCUGCAGAUAUAUUCCAUGCAGUGAUUAUCAGGACUUCAUAUGGGUCAGACCAGUAUCUGCACCCUCUUAUCUGCAGGCAUGCCUUUGUAAUGUGUGCAAGUCAUGGUCAUGGAUAAAGAAAUCGUCUCGAAGGCAGCAUAUGUAAUAAAAUUUCAAUUAUAACCUCAUUGAAUCACAGCGUCCGACUUUUAGACUGACAGCUGUCUGCAUGGUCCUUUUCAUCUAGCCCAGAACCCGAAUGGUCUAACAACACUCUUCCACUGUGAGGUCCAUCCCAGAAAAGUUGACGUCACCUCUGGACAAGGUUGACAUUAGGUUUAUUUUUUGCACAGUAAAGUUGAACCCUCAUAGGCGGCGAUAAUUCAGGUCAUCUGAGGAAAACAAAAGUCCCAAAAAUUGUUAUGAAAAAUGUCAAAAUAAUAUUAUUUCCACUUUUUUAUUGUCAGAUAUUUCAAUCAACUAUAGUCCCAACAAAAAAACAAAUAUCUAAUUAUUCAGAUAAAUUUUAACCCUUUAA